CCUGUGGACGGUGUGAGGCCAUUAGCAGCCCCUGGCUGCCACGCCUGGGUCUUUCCAGAGUCGGGUUGCUUGGGAAUGCAACCUCAAGCUGGUGCAGAUCUUGGUGGUAGUAGCAAAUAUUCAAAUGAGAACUUUGAAGGCCGAAGUGGAGAAGGAAGUUGCUUGAUCUUGAUUUUCAGUAUGAAUACAGACCGGGAAAGCAGGGCCUCA
rnacentral:lncRNA from 1 species